GGUUGGAAGGGUCCUUAGAGAUCAUAGAACCACAGGGUGGUUGGGUUGGAAGGGUCCUUAAAGAUCAAAGAACCACGGGAUGGUUGGUUGGAAGGGUCCUUCAAGACCAUAGAGGUACGAGAUGGUUGGGUUGGAAGGGUCCUUAAAGAUCAUAGAGCUAUGGGAUGGUUGGGUUGGAAGGGUCCUUAAAGAUGACAGAACCACAGGAUGGUUGGGUUGGAAGGGUCCUUAAAGAUCAUAGAGACACGGGAUGGUUGGGUUGGAAGGGUCCUUCAAGACCAUAGAGCUAUGGGAUGGUUGGGUUGGAAGGGUCCUUGAAGAUCAUAGAGGCACGAGAUGGUUGGGUUGGAAGAGUCCUUAAAGAUGACAGAACCACAGGGUGGUUGGGUUGGAAGGGUCCUUAGAGAUCAUAGAACCAUGGGAUGGUUGGGUUGGAAGGGUCCUUAAAGAUCAUAGAGCCACGGGAUGGUUGGGUUGGAAGGGUCCUUAAAGAUCAUAGAGGCACGGGAUGGUUGGGUUGGAAGGGUCCUUAAAGAUCAUAGAGCCAUGGGAUGGUUGGGUUAGAAGGGUCCUUAAAGAUCAUAGAGCCAUGGGAUGGUUGAGUUGGAAGGGUCCUUAAAGAUCAUAGAACCACAGGAUGGUUGGGUUGGAAGGGUCCUUAAAGACCAUAGAGGCACGAGAUGGUUGGGUUGGAAGGGUCCUUAAAGAUCAUAGAGCCACAGGAUGGUUGGGUUGGAAGGGUCCUUAAAGAUCAAAGAACCACGGGAUGGUUGGGUUGGAAGGGUCCUUAAAGAUCAUAGAGGCACAGGAUGGUUGGGUUGGAAGGGUCCUUAAAGAUCAUGGAGCCAUGGGAUGGUUGGGUUGGAAGGGUCCUUAAAGAUCAUAGAGCCAUGGGAUGGUUGGGUUGGAAGGGUCCUUAAAGAUCAUAGAGCCAUGAGAUGGUUGGGUUGGAAGGGUCCUUAAAGACCAUAGAGCCAUGGGAUGGUUGGGUUGGAAGGGUCCUUAAAGAUCAUAGAGCCAUGGGAUGGUUGGAAGGGUCCUUAGAGAUCACAGAGCCAUGGGAUGGUUGUGUUGGAAGGGUCCUUAAAGGUCAUAGAGCCAUGGGAUGUAAAGGGAUGCUGCUUGGGCAGAGGUGGACGGGCAGAGCCGAUGGAGCAGCGGCAGCCCGGUGGGUCGCCUCCUUUGAGCGCUGUGUGGUUCGGGACCGGUGCUGGUUGUGCUGCACCAAAGCAGCCCCCCAUAACAUCCCUGUUUUGCUCUCCCAUGACGCCAUGCUGGCCUCAAGCAGUGGGUUUAUGGAGAAGAAUUUUGUACUUCUUUUGAACGGGUGAGGAAGGGGUGCAGGAGGUGCUUUGCGACACGUAGCACAGCUUUCUCCGGGUUGGCGAGAGGUGCUAUUGGGUGAGGAGGGAUCCGGGCUCCGCUGUGUGUCCUUGGGGCAGGAAUCUUCCAUCAGUGCACCCAGCUCUGCUUGCAAGGCCUCCAGGUCUCCCCCCGUCGCUCCUGUUGAGUCCCCAUGGUCGUCCAACCCAACACGCGUGCCUUGUUUCCAUUCACACCUACCAACCUUGGCCAGGUGUGGCUCUGCUCAUUGCCCUGUCCCUGUUGUGUCCCACUGGCAGCGUUCUGUUUCCACCUCUUCUGUCUCUUCCCGACCUUCCUCUGAGCACAGAGCGUGGCUGCGUCGCCGCGCUGCCGACCUGCGGGCACAGCUGUGACCCACAGGGAUCGCCAGUCCUCUGCAGGGCUCCUUAAUCAUAGACCCACAGAGCCAUAGAAUGGCCUGGGUUGCAAAGGCUGAAGGUGAGCAUCAGCUCCAAGCCCCUGCUGUGUGCAGGUCGCCAACCAGCAGCCCAGGCUGCCCAGAGCCACAUCCAGCCUGGCCUCCAAUGCCUGCAGGGAUGGGGCAUCCACAGCCUCCUUGGGCAACCUGUGCCAGUGCCUCACCGCCCUCUGCAUGAAAAACUUCCUCCUCACAUCCAACCCAAACCUCCCCUGUCUCACUUUAAAGCCAUUCCCCUCGUCCCAUCACCACCCACCCUCACACACAGCCGUUCCCCUCCUGUUUAUCCGCUCCCUUCAAGCACUGAAGGCCACCAUGAGGUCUCCCUGGAUCCUUCUCUCCUCCAAGCCAAUCAAUCCCAGUUCCCUCCGCCAUUCCUCGUAGCAGAGCUGCUCCAGCCCUCUGACAUCUCAAUGCCCUCCUCUGGACCCGCUCCAUAAGCUCCAAGAGCUUCGCAGCUCCUGCUGUUCGGAUGGGGAUGCUCUGCUCAGCACUGGCCUGAUGCUCACACUGUUGUCGGUGUCUGGUGGUGCUGCUGGCAGCGGUGAGAGCCGUGCUUCUCCUGCCCUGCACAGCCCCGCAGGGGGCAGCUUUCGCUGGUUGGCCCCCCAGGAGCAGAGCUGGCGAUGUGGGACGGCGCGGCGCGGCGGCGGGGAGGCCAGGAGUGAUGAGCAGCGCAGAGCGAGGCGGUGCUGGCGGUUGUGUUCGGAGGGGGGAGGACAGGAAUGAGGGGCAGGAGGAGCUCGUCGUUGUGGGAAAAGGUGAACAGCGGGGUCAGCGUUCCGUGUCAGCGUCCCGUUCGGUUUGGCAGAGUUGCUCAUGGCGUGAGAAGCACCGUGCUCAAUGUGGUUUGCAGAAAACAUGGAAGCUGUGGGGGACACUGAGCCGUAGAACCACAGGAUCGGGUUGGAUGAGACCUCUCACAUCACCGCUCCAACCCG